GGCAGAUUUGGAGCCGGCUGUCGCUUGAUUUCGUUGAUUUUAUAUCUUUGCUGAUGCGAUUUGACAGCCUAUUGCAGAUCUGUUUUGCCAGGGGAUUUCGGCUUUGUAGAAGAUAGCGUUUGAUUUGCUUCUUGGCCUCAAUCAACUGGAGAGUCUGGCUUUUGACUCGAAACCUAGAUCUGGUUAUCUUGCGUGGACACUGCGCAUUGGCAAAGUUUGCAGCAUCUUGGACGUUUUUGACAAGAAUAUCAACAGCAUCAUCAACAUCAUCUGGACUGCUGAUUUCAGUGUUGAAUGGCCUUUUGCUUUGCUGAUGAUCGGCUUCUCAACCAGCUGGACUUGCAAUGGGAGGUGAUCCGAGUUUAGCUCGAAAGAGUCAGUGAUGGCCAGCAA
rnacentral:sRNA from 1 species